CCAAUAGCGUAUAUUAAAGUUGUUGCAGUUAAAAAGCUCGUAGUUGAAUUUCGGGAUUCGUCCAUUGGUCAGGCUUAACUGUCUGUACUGGUGUGUCGGAUUUCUACCUUCUGAAGAACCUUUAUGCCAUUAAUUUGGUGUGUUGGGGAAUCAGGACUGUUACUUUGAAAAAAUUAGAGUGUUUAAAGCAGGCUAACGUCUGAAUACAUUAGCAUGGAAUAAUGAAAUAGGACGGUACGGUUCUAUUUUGUUGGUUUCUAGGAUCGCCGUAAUGAUUAAUAGGGAUAGUUGGGGGCAUUAGUAUUCAAUUGUCAGAGGUGAAAUUCUUGGAUUUAUUGAAGACUAACUACUGCGAAAGCAUUUGCCAAGGAUGUUUUCAUUAAUCAAGAACGAAAGUUAGGGGAUCGAAGACGAUCAGAUACCGUCGUAGUCUUAACCAUAAACUAUGCCGACUAGGGAUUGGACGAUGUUAAUUUUUUAAUGACUCGUUCAGCACCUUACA
rnacentral:rRNA from 1 species